UACGAAGGGGGCUAGCGUUGCUCGGAAUCACUGGGCGUAAAGCGCACGUAGGCGGAUUGUUAAGUCAGGGGUGAAAUCCUGGAGCUCAACUCCAGAACUGCCUUUGAUACUGGCAAUCUUGAGUCCGGAAGAGGUGAGUGGAACUCCUAGUGUAGAGGUGGAAUUCGUAGAUAUUAGGAAGAACACCAGUGGCGAAGGCGGCUCACUGGUCCGGUACUGACGCUGAGGUGCGAAAGCGUGGGGAGCAAACAGG
rnacentral:rRNA from 1 species